rnacentral:lncRNA from 1 species
CCCAGCACCAUGCAAGGCAGCCACACUCAGCACCGUGCAAUGCAACCACACUCAGCACCGUGCAAUGCAACCACACUCUGCAUUGCACCCACCCAGCACUGUGCAAUGCAACCACACAGAGCCCAGCACCCACCCAGCACCGUGCAAUGCACCCACACACUGCACAGCACCCAUCCACACCAUGCAAUGCAACCACACUCAGCACCGUGCAAUGCAACCACACUCUGCAUUGCACCCACCCAGCACUGUGCCAUGCAACCACACACUGCAGAGCAUCCACCCAGCACCAUGCAAUGGAACCACACACUGCAUUGCACCCACCCAGCACCGUGCAAUGCAACCACACACUGAAUUGCAGCCACGCACCACUGUGCAAUGCAACCACAUUCUGCAGAGCUCCCACCCUCUGCAAUGAAGCCGCACUCAGCACCGUGCAAUGCAACCACACUCUGCAUUGUACCCACCCAGCACCGUGCAAUCCAACCACACACUGCACUGCACCCACCCAGCACUGUGCAAUGCAACCACACACUGCAGAGCACCCAUCCAGCACCGUGCAAUGCACCCACAUGCUGCACUGCACCCACCCAGCACCAUGCAAUGCAACCACACUCUGCAUUGUACCCACCCAGCACCGUGCAAUGCAACCACACACUGCAGAGCAUCCACCCAGCACCAUGCAAUGGAACCACACUCUGCAUUGCACCCACCCAGCACCGUGCAAUGCAACCACACUCAGCAUUGCACCAACAAAGCACCAUGCAAUGCAGCCACUCACAGCUCUGUGCAAUGCAACCACACUCUGCAUUGCACCCACCCAGCACCGUGCCAUGCAACCACACACUGCACAGCAUCCACCCAGCACCAUGCAAUGGAACCACACACUGCAGAGCUCCCACCCUCUGCAAUGCAGCGACACUCAGCACCGUGCAAUGCAGCCACACACUGCAUUGCACCCAUGCAGCACCGUGCAAUGCAACCACACACUGCAGAGCACCCACCCAGCACCGUGCAAUGCAGCCACACUCAGCACCGUGCAAUGCAACCACACAGAGCCCAGCACCCACCCAGCACCGUGCAAUGCACCCACACUCUGCAUUGCAGCCACCCAGCACGGUGCAAUGCAACCACACACUGCAGAGCUCUCACCCUCUGCAAUGCAGCCACACUCAGCACCGUGCAAUGCAGCUGCACACUGCAGUGCUCCCAUCCAGCACCGUG